UCGAGAAUUUUUCACAAUGGGCGAAAGCCUGAUGGAGCGACGCCGCGUGGGGGAUGAAUGGCUUCGGCCCGUAAACCCCUGUCAUUCGCGAUCAACCCUUAUUAUUUAAAAGAUGAUAAGCUGAUAGUAGCGGAAGAGGAAGGGACGGCUAACUCUGUGCCAGCAGCCGCGGUAAUACAGAGGUCCCAAGCGUUGUUCGGAUUCACUGGGCGUAAAGGGUGCGUAGGUGGUGACGUAAGUCGGAUGUGAAAGCUCGGAGCUCAACUCCGAAAUGGCAUUGGAAACUGCGUCGCUAGAGGGUCGGAAGGGGGACUGGAAUUCUCGGUGUAGCAGUGAAAUGCGUAGAUAUCGAGAGGAACACCAGUGGCGAAGGCGAGUCCCUGGACGACUCCUGACACU
rnacentral:rRNA from 1 species